GAGGGGCAGCAUGAAUAAUAGCAAUAUUAUUUGAUGGCGACCAGCGCACGGGUGCGUAACACGUAUGCAAUCUGCCUCGUACUUGGGCAUAACUCCGAGAAAUCGGUGCUAAUUCCCAAUGACACUAUGAAGUGGCAUCACUUUAUAGUUAAAGCUCCGGCGGUACGAGAUGAGCAUGCGCCCAAUUAGCUAGUUGGUGAGGUAACGGCUCACCAAGGCUACGAUUGGUUAGGGGUUCUGAGAGGAUGAUCCCCCACACUGGUACUGA
rnacentral:rRNA from 1 species